AUCCGAAUCUGGUGUUACGCCGUAUAAAGAAAGAAACUGUGACAAAAAAUACUGUGAAAAUAACUCUUGUGCACAAUCUUCUUUGGCCUCUUCUCAGGAACCUGAACCAAAGAAAUAUGGUGGAAAAAUCAGAGGAAGAUCUAAAAGGAAAUCCUUUGAAUUUGAGGAUAUUCAGCACUUUCGAAAUCGGAACUCACAGACGAUUCGUGAAGAACUUGGAAGAAAUUCUGGAUCCCACCAAAGAAAAUCCAUAUGAAGAUAUUCCAGUGCAGCCUUUACCUAUGUGGAGAUCCCCUUCAGCAUGGAAGCUACCACCCGCUAAAAGUGCUUUUAAAGCACCCAAGCUCCCUCCCAAACCUCAGUUCCUUCACCGGAAGACUAUGGAAGUAAAGAACUCACAAGCUUAUUUGCGGUCAAAGCUUACAAAAGAUACAACUUUGCCGGUCACUUUAACGGAAUGGAAGCUUUUCCGAGCUGGUGAAGUUGCAAACACGAAAAGGAAAAAUCUUCCAAGGCUUGUAUUGAAAAUAGAUGACAUAUUUGAAUCUAAAAGAGGGAAGAAGAAGGUAAAGUUACAUUCUUACACUGGAAAGGAAUUACCUCCGACAAAAGGUGAAACCAGUGGAAACGAAAGUGAUGCCGAGUAUCUGCCAAAGAAUCGCCAUAAACGCUUAGCACAACUGCAACCGUCUUCCAAGAGGAAUCCUCACUACCAGACCUUGGAGCGGGAUCUUAUUGAAUUACAGGAGCAGCAGCUGUUUGAACUUUUUGUGGUGGUGUCUCUACAGAAGAAACCAUCAGGAAUAAGCUAUAUUCCCCAGGUCAUACAACAAUUCCCUGGCAAGGAUGAUCAUGGCUAUAAGCAGUCCAAAGACAUGGAAGAGAGGCUUAAAGUUAUUCCAAAAUUUUGUUUUCCUGAUUCAAAGGACUGGAUGCCAACCUCAGAACUCAAGAGUGAAACAUUCUCCUUUGUCUUGACUGGUGAAGAUGGAAGCCGGUGGUUUGGUUACUGUAAGAAGCUCUUGCCAGUAGGCAAAGGAAAGCGACUCCCUGAAGUAUACUGCAUGGUUAGUCGCCUAGGCUGCUUCAAUCUUUUUUCAAAGAUUCUGGAUGAAGUAGAGAAGAGAAGAGAAAUGUCUCCAGCCCUUGUUUACCCAUUCAUGCGAAGUGUCAUGGAAGCUCCUUUCCCAGCUCCUGGACGCACCAUCACAGUUAAGAGUUACCUCCCUGGGGCUGGAGACGAGUCCAUUGAACUCUGCCGACCACUAGAUUCCCGAUUGGAACAUGUUGAUUUUAAAUGUCUCUUUAAGUGCCUGAGUGUGUGUCAUCUCAUCCGGGUCUGUGCCUCUCUCCUUUUGGAGCGUAGGGUAAUCUUUGUUGCCAACAGCCUAAGCACCCUGUCAAAAUGUGGCCAUGCUGUGGUAGCUACACUGUAUCCGUUCACCUGGCAGCAUACCUAUAUCCCAGUCCUGCCAGCAUCUAUGAUUGACAUCGUGUGCUCACCUACACCAUUCCUUAUUGGAAUCCUGUCUUGCUCCUUACCACAGCUCCAGGACCUACCCAUUGAAGAGGUGCUGAUAGUUGAUCUCUGUGCAGACAAGUUCUUACAGGAGUUUAUAGCUGCCUAUCCCAAAGGAGGAAGGAGGAAACAUAAAUGUCUCAUUCUCAAAAGAGGUAAAACCACCCUUCAACUCCAGGUGGGUCGACACAUAAGCCUCUAAUUUAAUUACAUUUUAAAAGCAUUUAUUAAGCACUGAUUAUUUCUUUUUUUUUUUUUUUUUUGAGAUGGAGUCUCGCUCUGUCGCCCAGGCUGGAGUGCAGUGGCGCAAUCUCGGCUCACUGCAAGCUCCGCCGCCUCCUGGGUUCACGCCAUUCUCCUGCCUCAGCCUCCCGAGUAGCUGGGACUACAGGUAUCCGAUGAGGAUGAAAUUCUACCACCAAAACUUCAAGCUGCCCUGAUGCAGAUUUUGGAAGAACGAAAUGAAAUCUUGACUCAGGAGCAGAAUUUUUCACAAGAUGUGACACUCAACUCUCUGGUGUCCGAAGCAUUUGUCAGGUUUUUUGUGGAGUUGGUAGGACAUUAUUCUUUGAACAUGACUGUCACUGAGCGUGGGGAGCGUGUUUUCCAAAGGGAACCAUUCCGUAAGUCCCACACCUCCCGAAGUGUACGCCACUUCCUGGAUCUCUUCAUGGAGACUCAGAUGUUUGCAGGAUUCAUCCAGGACCGAGAGCUUCGGAAAAGUGGAGUUAAAGGUUUGUUUGAGGUCCGGGCCAUCCAGUAUUUGGAAACAAUUCCUGAGUCGGAGCCCAGUGGGAUGAAUAGAAUUUUGCGGAGUCUUGGUUAGUUGCUGUGUUUUCCUGUUAGAUAAAUGUGGCUGAAGACCAGGCGCGGUGGCUCAUGCCUGUAAUUCCAGCACUUUGCGAGGUCAAGUAAGGAGGUUUGCUUGAGGCCAGGAGUUUGAGACCAGCGUGGGCAACAUAGUGAGACCCCAUCCCUACACAAAAUUUUAAAAUUAGCUGGGCAUGGUUGGGCAUGGUGGCUUAUGCCUGUAAUCCCAGCACUUUGGGAGGCUGAGGCAGGUUGAUCACCUGAGGUUAGGAGUUCGAGACUAGCUAGCCUGUCCAACAUGGUGAAACCCCAUCUCUGCUAAAAAUACAAAAAUUAGCCUGGUUUAGUGGCAGGCACCUGUAAUCCCAGCUACUUGGGAGGCUGAGGCAGAAGAAUUGCUUGAACCCAGGAGAUGGAGGUUACGGUGAGCAGAGAUCACACCAUUGCACUCCAGCCUGGGCAACAAGAGCAAAAUUCUGUCUCAAAAAAAAAAAAAAAAAAUUAGCUAGGCAUGCUGGCACAUUCCUGUAGUUCUAGCUACGCAGGAGGCUGAGAGGCCCGAGGGGGAUCGCUGGAGCCCGGGAGUUUGAGGCCUCAGUAAGAUGAUCUUGCCACAGAUGACAGAGUGAGAUUCUUGUCUCUAAAAAAAUAAAUAAAUAAAAAU
rnacentral:sRNA from 1 species